rnacentral:rRNA from 1 species
GACGAACGCUGGCGGCGUGCCUAACACAUGCAAGUCGAGCGAAUGAAGUUCCUUCGGGAAUGGAUUUAGCGGCGGACGGGUGAGUAACACGUGGGCAACCUGCCUCAUAGAGGGGAAUAGCCUUCCGAAAGGGAGAUUAAUACCGCAUAAGAUUGUAGUACCGCAUGAUACGGCAAUUAAAGGAGCAAUCCGCUAUGAGAUGGGCCCGCGGCGCAUUAGCUAGUUGGUGAGGUAACGGCUCACCAAGGCGACGAUGCGUAGCCGACCUGAGAGGGUGAUCGGCCACAUUGGGACUGAGACACGGCCCAGACUCCUACGGGAGGCAGCAGUGGGGAAUAUUGCACAAUGGGGGAAACCCUGAUGCAGCAACGCCGCGUGAGUGAUGACGGCCUUCGGGUUGUAAAGCUCUGUCUUCAGGGACGAUAAUGACGGUACCGGAAUAAGAAGCACCGGCUAACUACGUGCCAGCCGCCGCCGUAACAC